ACCCCCUGGCUUCUGCUCACAGCACUGACCCCAGCUAAUCCAAGAACAUGUCACCUAUAAUGAGAAUGUUAAAUAAAAAUCAACCAUCUUCCAGAUGUGUCUAUAUCAUGGUACUGUACAUGGGUAAGGACAGUAAGUUGCAGUUAUUCUUGAGAUGGGGCAGUGGCUCCAUGCUCUGGCCCCCGACCGCAGCAGCUGUCCCAACUCAUCACCCCGAGUGCCGGCUUUCCCAUCCGGUCUCAGGAUCUGCACUCGACGGGCACCAGGGCUUUCUUCAGCGAACAUCUGAACUCUCUCAAGUGUCUCCAGAGACUUUCACACUUCUACAAAGACAACCUCAUUCUGUAAGAGCAUGGAUUUAACCUGCUCUUCGAUGUCACUCCUUCACAGAGUGCACUGUUCAUUGUCACCCUCUCCACUAGCGUCAGCCUUACUAAAAGUCAAACAUCAACGUUAGUGGUAACUCUGGAGGCCUGGCAUUGUAGCGAUAUCCCCAAGAGAAAAUUGUUUUCAACCUUUCUGGGAAAAGUUCACUUGCCUUUUAUUAAAACACUAGUUUUUAUAA